rnacentral:tRNA from 1 species
GCGUUGGUGGUUUAGUGGUAAAAUUCAUCGUUGCCAUGUAGUUGAAUGCCUUACUGGAAAUUCAACGACGACUCGAUGAGCCCCGGGUUCGAUUCCCGGCCGACGCA